GAUGAACGCUGGCGGCGUGCCUAAUACAUGCAAGUCGAGCGAACAGACGAGGAGCUUGCUCCUUUGACGUUAGCGGCGGACGGGUGAGUAACACGUGGGUAACCUACCUAUAAGACUGGGAUAACUUCGGGAAACCGGAGCUAAUACCGGAUAAUAUUUCGAACCGCAUGGUUCGAUAGUGAAAGAUGGCUCUGCUAUCACUUAUAGAUGGACCUGCGCCGUAUUAGCUAGUUGGUAAGGUAGCGGCUUACCAAGGCAACGAUACGUAGCCGACCUGAGAGGGUGAUCGGCCACACUGGAACUGAGACACGGUCCAGACUCCUACGGGAGGCAGCAGUAGGGAAUCUUCCGCAAUGGGCGAAAGCCUGACGGAGCAACGCCGCGUGAGUGAUGAAGGUCUUCGGAUCGUAAAACUCUGUUAUUAGGGAAGAACAAACGUGUAAGUAACUGUGCACGUCUUGACGGUACCUAAUCAGAAAGCCACGGCUAACUACGUG
rnacentral:rRNA from 1 species